GAUGAACGCUGGCGGCGUGCCUAAUACAUGCAAGUCGAGCGAACAGAUGAGGAGCUUGCUCCUCUGACGUUAGCGGCGGACGGGUGAGUAACACGUGGAUAACCUACCUAUAAGACUGGGAUAACUUCGGGAAACCGGAGCUAAUACCGGAUAAUAUAUUGAACCGCAUGGUUCAAUAGUGAAAGACGGUUUUGCUGUCACUUAUAGAUGGAUCCGCGCCGCAUUAGCUAGUUGGUAAGGUAACGGCUUACCAAGGCAACGAUGCGUAGCCGACCUGAUGGGGUGAUCGGCCGCACUAGAACUGAUACACGGUCCAGACUCCUACGGGAGGCAGCAGUAGGGAAUCUUCCGCAGUGGGCGAAAGCCUGACGGAGCAACGCCGCGUGAGUGAUGAAAGUCUUCGGAUCGUGAAACUCUGUUAUUAGGGAAGAACAAAUGUGUAAGUAACUAUGCACGUCUUGACGGUACCUAAUCAGAAAGCCACGGCUAACUACGUG
rnacentral:rRNA from 1 species